UUUAAGCAUAUAACUAAGCGGAGGAAAAGAAACUAACAAGGAUUCCCCUAGUAGCGGCGAGCGAAGCGGGAAAAGCCCAGGAUGAAAAUCUCUUCGGAGAGUUGUAGUCUGAGCGGCCUUGGGCGGUCAGUGUGGGUAAGUCGUCUGGAAUGACGUACCGCGGAGGGUGAGAGUCCCGUCCAGCCCACACAGGACCUGCCCGCACGAGGUCGCUUCAACCGAGUCGGGUAGCUUGGGAAUGCUGCUCUAAAUGGUGGUAAAUCUCAUCAAAGGCUAAAUAUCGGUGGGAGACCGAUAGCGAACAAGUACCGUGAGGGAAAGAUGGAAAGAACUUUGAAAAGAGAGUGAAAAGCGCUUGAAACCGUCACGGGGGAAGCGAAUUGCGUGAGUGGUGGCGCGCACGGUUCAGCUCGCGCGGCCUUUUUUCCCCCUCUUUUGGGGGCGAACUGUCUGCCGAGUGUAUUCUGUGCGUGCCGUGCGUGUGUGGCUGGGCGCGCGUGCGAGGCGCAGAUUUGUUUCUGUGCGGCACGCCGCUCCUGGUGAGGGCUCCCCCGCACGGGGUGAGGACACACGCAAAAUGACGCAAUACGACCCGUCUUGAAACACGGACCAAGGAGUCUAGCACGGCUGCGAGUCGAAGGGUGGCUGAAAAAACCCAGAGGGCGCAGUGAAAGCAAACAUUUGGAAAGCACAUUGGGGAGGCGUUGCGGUUUUACCAAAAUGUCCUACCUCGAGCACCCGUGCUGGGACCCGAAAGAUGGUGAACUAUGCCGGAGUAGGGCAAAGCCAGAGGAAACUCUGGUGGAGGCUCGUAGCGAUGCUGACGUGCAAAUCGCUCGUCGAACUUGGGUAUAGGGGCGAAAGACUAAUCGAACCAUCUAGUAGCUGGUUCCCUCCGAAGUUUCUCUCAGGAUAGCGGGCCGACGACGUGUUGUUCUGUGCGGUAAAGCGAAUGAUUAGUGCAUUUGGGGGCCGAAGGCCUUCAGGCGAUUCUCAAACUUUAAAUGCGCAGGGGGGCGGCUGCUUGAAAACUUUUUGAGCCUGCUCUUGUAAAAACGUCGGCUCCGUGGGCCACUUUUGGUAAGCAGAACUGGCGAUAAGGGAUGAACCUUAAGCGCGGUUAAGGCGCCGCAUUGCCCGCUUAUAGACCCCACAAAAGGUGUUGAUUCAUCCAGACAGCAGGACGGUGGCCAUGGAAGUCGGA
rnacentral:rRNA from 1 species